AUGACAAAGAAAAGAAGGAACAACGAUUAUGCCCAAAAGGGCCGUGAGCACGUGCAGUCUAUUCACUGCAUGAACUGUGCCUGACAUGUGCCCAAAGACAAGGCCAUUAGGAAAUUCAUCAUUGGGGCCAGGCGUGAGGCCACAGCAGUCAGGGACAUUUCUGAAGCGAGCGUCUUCAAUGCCUAUGUGCUUCCCAAGCUAUAUCUGAAGCUGUGUUACUGUGUGGGUUGUGCCAUUCACAGCAAAGUAGUCAGGAAUUGAUCUCGUGAAGCCCUCAAGGACCAAACACCCCCACCCCGAUUUAGACCUGGGGGUGCUGCCCCAUGACCCCCACCAAAGCCCAUAUAA
rnacentral:lncRNA from 1 species